rnacentral:rRNA from 1 species
AUUGAACGCUGGCGGAAUGCUUUACACAUGCAAGUCGAACGGCAGCACGGACUUCGGUCUGGUGGCGAGUGGCGAACGGGUGAGUAACAUAUCGGAACGUAUCCAAUAAUGGGGGAUAACUAAUCGAAAGGUUGGCUAAUACCGCAUACGCCCUGAGGGGGAAAGUGGGGACCGCAAGGCCUCACGUUAUUCGAGCGGCCGACGUCUGAUUAGCUAGUUGGUGGGGUAAAGGCCUACCAAGGCGACGAUCAGUAGCGGGUCUGAGAGGAUGAUCCGCCACACUGGGACUGAGACACGGCCCAGACUCCUACGGGAGGCUG